rnacentral:rRNA from 1 species
GACGUAGGGGGCCAGCGUUGUUCGGAAUUACUGGGUGUAAAGGGUUCGUAGGCGGUGCGGCAAGUCGGGAGUGAAAUCUCUGGGCUCAACCCAGAGGCUGCUCCCGAAACUGCUGUGCUUGAGUGUGGGAGAGGCGCGUGGAAUUGCAGGUGUAGCGGUGAAAUGCGUAGAUAUCUGCAGGAACACCCGUGGCGAAAGCGGCGCGCUGGACCACUACUGACGCUGAAGAACGAAAGCUAGGGGAGCAAACAGG